rnacentral:tmRNA from 1 species
GGUCUUGAUCUCCGAGCCGGAAUAUCCUAUAUCGGGGACAGCGUUGCAGGAUGGCUUUCGGGCCAUCCGAGACUGCGAUCAUAUAAGACCUAGCGGACGGGGGCUGCGAUGCCCCCCGCCUCCACCAAAAGACCUCGUGAUGAGCGGGGCAUGGUCCUCGGACCAUCAGGCCAAACCUCCUCCGAGUCAGGGCUUGUUCCAUGGGGGCGAAUUAGGAUCGACGUGGGUGAAUAAGGGUCGUUUAGACGUUGGGUGAGGCACGCCCGCUAAUCCCCAUCCGGGGAAAGGCUCGUCCAACAACUUGUGAAUGUCGCAAAUGACAACCACAAUGCUCAGGAUCUGCGCGUAGCCGCCUAACGGUGGUCGCGUUGAGACUAGGCGGGGCUGGAAUGGCCUAGCAACAGAAUAUUCCCAGA